rnacentral:rRNA from 1 species
GACGAACGCUGGCGGCGUGCUUAACACAUGCAAGUCGAGCGGUAAGGCCCUUUCGGGGGUACACGAGCGGCGAACGGGUGAGUAACACGUGGGUGACCUGCCCUCAGCUCUGGGAUAAGCCUGGGAAACUGGGUCUAAUACUGGAUAUGACUCCACGGUGCAUGUCGUGGGGUGGAAAGCCUUGUGCGGCUGAGGAUGGGGCCCGCGGCCUAUCAGCUUGUUGGUGGGGGAUGGCCUACCAAGGCGACGACGGGUAGCCGGCCUGAGAGGGCGACGGCCACACUGGGACUGAGACACGGCCCAGACUCCUACGGGAGGCAGCAGUGGGGAAUCUUGCGCAAUGGGCGAAAGCCUGACGCAGCGACGCCGCGUGA